rnacentral:rRNA from 1 species
AACGUCUUCCUUCUUUAUGUUUGACCUCAAAUCAGGUAGGACUACCCGCUGAACUUAAGCAUAUCAAUAACG